rnacentral:rRNA from 1 species
GAAACGACUGCUAAGACUGGAUAGGAGACAAGAGGGCAUCUUCUUGUUUUUAAAAGACCUAGCAAUAGGUAUGCUUAGGGAGGAGCUUGCGUCACAUUAGCUAGUUGGUGGGGUAAAGGCCUAACAAGACUAUGAUGUGUAGCCGGGCUGAGAGGUUGAACGGCCACAUUGGGACUGAGACACGGCCCAAACUCCUACGGGAGGCAGCAGUAGGGAAUUUUCGGCAAUGGAGGAAACUCUGACCGAGCAACGCCGCGUGAACGAUGAAGUAUUUCGGUACGUAAAGUUCUUUUAUUAGGGAAGAAUAAAUGAUGGAAAAAUCAUUCUGACGGUACCUAAUGAAUAAGCCCCGGCUAACUAUGUGCCAGCAGCCGCGGUAAUACAUAGGGGGCAAGCGUUAUCCGGAAUUAUUGGGCGUAAAGGGUGCGUAGGCGGUUAAAUAAGUUUAUGGUCUAAGUGCAAUGCUCAACAUUGUGAUGCUAUAAAAACUGUUUAGCUAGAGUAAGAUAGAGGCAAGUGGAAUUCCAUGUGUAGUGGUAAAAUGCGUAAAUAUAUGGAGGAACACCAGUAGCGAAGGCGGCUUGCUGGGUCUUUACUGACGCUGAGGCACGAAAGCGUGGGGAGCAAACAGGAUUAGAUACCCUGGUAGUCCACGCCGUAAACGAUGAGUACUAAACGUUGGGUAAAACCAGUGUUGAAGUUAACACAUUAAGUACUCUGCCUGAGUAGUACGUACGCAAGUAUGAAACUUAAAGGAAUUGACGGGACUCCGCACAAGCGGUGGAUCAUGUUGUUUAAUUCGAAGGUACCCGAAAAACCUCACCAGGUCUUGACAUGCUUCUGCAAAGCUGUAGAAACACAGCGGAGGUUAUCAGUUGCACAAGUGGUGCAUGGUUGUCGUCAGCUCGUGUCGUGAGAUGUUGGGUUAAGUCCUGCAACGAGCGCAACCCUUAUUGUUAGUUACCAGCACGUAAUGGUGGGGACUUUAGCAAGACUGCCAGUGAUAAAUUGGAGGAAGGUGGGGACGACGUCAAAUCAUCAUGCCCCUUAUGACCUGGGCUACAAACGUGAUACAAUGGCUGUUACAAAGGGUAGCUGAAGCGCAAGUUUUUGGCAAAUCUCAAAAAAACAGUCUCAGUUCGGAUUGAAGUCUGCAACUCGACUUCAUGAAGUUGGAAUCGCUAGUAAUCGCGAAUCAGCAUGUCGCGGUGAAUACGUUCUCGGGGUUUGUACACACCGCCCGUCA